rnacentral:tRNA from 1 species
GUAGGCAUAGUUUAAACAAAACAUUAGAUUGUGAUUCUAAUAAUAGAAGUUAGAACCCUCUUGCCCACC